AAGGAAGAUCUUCCUGUUAAAAUCAACGGCCUUAGGCUUCCCAUCGAUACCAUCUGCCGCAACCCUAAAGGCUUUGAGUUCGACAAAGAAGUGUGCUCAUGGCAGUGGGGAGUACAGGGCAAGGAAUUGUAGCAGAAAAG